UUUUCUCUUCACACUUACCUUUUAUUAUUUUAGCCAAUUGGGCUUUAGUAAUUUAGGUCCAACACAUCUCUCACACGCAGUUACAUCACUAGGUACCAAGGAUGAUAUCACUGUCUUCACUGCUCUUGCGAAGCCUCCAACUUCACAGUUUAUCAACGCUUCUCAUUGGUACAGCCACAUCGAUGCCCUCUUGACGAUCUCCGGUGUGUCUGCUGAAGGGAGUGGUGUCAUUGUUGAGGGCUCAGAUCAUCAGUAUUGAUUGAUAAUUUGAUAUCAAGCCGUGGGAUGAUGAGACCGACAUGAAGAAGCUAGAGGAAGCUGUGAGAUCCAUCCAGAUGGAAGAGUUAUUCUGGGGAGCAUCAAAGCUUGUCCGGUUGGUUACGGUCAAUGUUUUUAAACCCGACCCGGACACGAACCGGACGACUUACCGGGUCGUUGGGUCACUGGGUCGACCGCGGGUUAAUAAAUGAAUUAAUUUUAUUAUAUAAUAAUAUAUAUAUGCUAUGAAAAUAAAUAUAUAAAAACUAAAAUUUAAUAUUUUCUAAAUGUUUUUUAAAACAUAAAAAGUAUUUAACUUUAGUUUUUAUAUUUUUAUUUUCAUAUGACAUGUAAAAUAUCAAAAAAAUAGUUUAGACUAUUUAAAAUUUUCUGUAAGAAAGUAAGAGUUAUGAUAUCUAAAAAUAUCAAGAUAUAAAACUCACAAAUAUUUAAAUAUCUAAUGUGAAUAAUAAAUUAACUUCAAAUUCAAAAUAAACGAAAAGUAAAAGAUCAUUGUAAUAAAUUGUUAAUAACAGAAAUAAACUAACGCCAAAUCACAUCAACUAAUUUUGGUUCUCUCUAUCAUCGUUCACUUCAUUUUUUUAGGUGACAUAGUGAAAAAUCUUCAUCAAAAUCUAAAAAUCACAAAUAUAAAACUGAAAAGGGAAAACCUAACUUCUUUUUUUCGUCGGCAUCUAAUUUUUUAAUUGAAAACUUAGAAUAUAAAACAUAAUCUAAAAACUAAAAAAAGAGUAAAAGUUAUUUAUUGAUUCAACCAGUAGUUCAACCGGUAUCGGGUUCCAGGUUUUAGUGGAUUUUUGCGGGUUUUUACGGGUUUUUUGUGGGUUUCUAAAUAUUGGGUUUUUCAUAAAAUCCAUACCGGAUUUUUUCUGGCUCACCGGAUUUACCGGUUCAACCGUGGGUCCGGGUCGGGUUUCGAAACACUGGUUACGGUAUCAAGAAGCUGCAGAUCAUGUGCACCAUCGUUGACGACCUCGUCUCUGUCGACACUAUGAUCGAGGAGCAGCUCACCGUUGAGCCAAUCAAUGAGUUUGUCCAGAGUUGCGACAUUGUUGCCUUCAACAAGAUCUGAGGAUGGAGAAAAAAAAGGCUUCAAGAGGUCUUUGUGCUAUAAACAGGCUACUGUUUUCUUAUCAUGAGUUUCAAAAGUUGCUGUAGACUUUGUUGUUUUGAUUCUGAUCUCUGAUUAUUUUGAUAUUUAUGGAAACAACAACAAUUAAGUAUCUGAAAAUACGGGUUCAAUUUACUUAACGUUUCACUUAUACACUGUUAUGUGAGUGAGGAGUGGCGUGAACAAAGAAAGCUUGUGUAGGAUUUAAAAGGAUUAUCAUUAUAUGGGUGUGAAUAAGAGAUGGAAUCGUUCAUUUGUAAGCUUGAUUGAUUGUAUCAUGUUGCUAGAAAACU